CUUACCUUAUCAGGUGGCCUCUAGGUGUGUGGAAGCCCGCCCCACAUCCAGAAGCUCCAGGACAGAAAGCCUGGGGGUGCGAUUCAGUCCAAUGUCCAUGCAGUGCCCCAGGGUGGCCACCUGCCAGGGAUCCAGCCCUCCAGGCCACCAGAGCCAGGCCAUCAAGGUGUGUCCCCUGAGCAGCUGUCACAGAGACCACGGCACCAGGCUUUUACAAAUGCUCCCCGUUGGGAGGUCCUGGCGCUCUGGAGACAGCGCCCAUCCUCCAAGGUCUUCAGACAGGGUGAAACUCAGCCCUGAGAUGUGUGUUUAAUUAGAAGCCUGCCCUUCAGGCAUGAAGCUCAGUGGAUUAGCUAAUAGGCCACUGUCACAGAAAGCCUAAACACAGGGCCUGUGGCCCUCUGGCCGUGCCCUGGAGGUGGCAGCCGUCCAUUUAAUAACUCUUUCACUGUGAGUGACCGUCCUGUGGGACCCAAGCAUGGAAGCCCCGUAGUCAUCAGAGCCAAGAGAUAUUCAGGAGUCUCAGGGCAGCAGUUGCUGGUAACCCCACCCCGCUGCAUGCAGAAGCUUUGGCGGAGGAGCACACUGCAGAAGGAGGACCGUGGUGGGAGCUAGAGCAUCUGGCUGGAGUCCACCGUCCACCAUUAAGAUGGCGUCCAGCCGCCAGAGUACCACACGAGCAUAAAGAUGGUGCCUGCCAGUGUUCGACCCACAGAACACUUCCGCCUGCCUCCAAAUGUCUGUCAAAUCAGAACCUGUCCUCCAGUUCGAUGCUCCAAGACCAGCAAAUGAGCCUCUCCCACAAAGUCCAUCCGCCGCUUGGCGCUGGUCCUGAGGCAGGGACUGCAGCCCACCAGGCUCCUCUGUCCAUGGAAUUCUCCAAGCAAAAUUACUGGAGUGAGUUGCUAUUGCCUUCUCCAGGGCAUCUUCCUGGACCAGGGAUCUAACCCGGAUCUCCUGUAUUGCAGGCAGAUUCUUAACUGUCUGUGCCACCAGAGAAGCCCCAUUUGAUUAAAUAGGACCCAUUAAUUUAUGUAAAUUUGCAACUACCUUUCUUGGUUUCCAGAAACAGGCUAAAUCAGGCUUGAAACCAUGAGGUUUUGGAUAAAUUUUGUUCUCUAAACUAAGUGACAAUUAAGUGAUUGAUUGUUACAUAAAUUUAAAUGAUUUGAG
ensembl:lncRNA